rnacentral:rRNA from 1 species
UAGGCAAAUCCGGUACUCGUUAAGGCUGAGCUGUGAUGGGGAGAAGACAUUGUGUCUUCGAGUCGUUGAUUUCACACUGCCGAGAAAAGCCUCUAGAUAGAAAAUAGGUGCCCGUACCGCAAACCGACACAGGUAGUCAAGAUGAGAAUUCUAAGGUGAGCGAGCGAACUCUCGUUAAGGAACUCGGCAAAAUGACCCCGUAACUUCGGGAGAAGGGGUGCUCUUUAGGGUUAACGCCCAGAAGAGCCGCAGUGAAUAGGCCCAAGCGACUGUUUAUCAAAAACACAGGUCUCUGCUAAACCGUAAGGUGAUGUAUAGGGGCUGACGCCUGCCCGGUGCUGGAAGGUUAAGAGGAGUGGUUAGCUUCUGCGAAGCUACGAAUCGAAGCCCCAGUAAACGGCGGCCGUAACUAUAACGGUCCUAAGGUAGCGAAAUUCCUUGUCGGGUAAGUUCCGACCCGCACGAAAGGCGUAACGAUUUGGGCACUGUCUCAACGAGAGACUCGGUGAAAUCAUAGUACCUGUGAAGAUGCAGGUUACCCGCGACAGGACGGAAAGACCCCGUGGAGCUUUACUGUAGCCUGAUAUUGAAAUUCGGCACAGCUUGUACAGGAUAGGUAGGAGCCUUUGAAACGUGAGCGCUAGCUUACGUGGAGGCGCUGGUGGGAUACUACCCUAGCUGUGUUGGCUUUCUAACCCGCACCACUUAUCGUGGUGGGAGACAGUGUCAGGCGGGCAGUUUGACUGGGGCGGUCGCCUCCUAAAAGGUAACGGAGGCGCUCAAAGGUUCCCUCAGAAUGGUUGGAAAUCAUUCAUAGAGUGUAAAGGCAUAAGGGAGCUUGACUGCGAGACCUACAAGUCGAGCAGGGUCGAAAGACGGACUUAGUGAUCCGGUGGUUCCGCAUGGAAGGGCCAUCGCUCAACGGAUAAAAGCUACCCCGGGGAUAACAGGCUUAUCUCCCCCAAGAGUUCACAUCGACGGGGAGGUUUGGCACCUCGAUGUCGGCUCAUCGCAUCCUGGGGCUGUAGUCGGUCCCAAGGGUUGGGCUGUUCGCCCAUUAAAGCGGUACGCGAGCUGGGUUCAGAACGUCGUGAGACAGUUCGGUCCCUAUCCGUCGUGGGCGUAGGAAAUUUGAGAGGAGCUGUCCUUAGUACGAGAGGACCGGGAUGGACAUACCUCUGGUGUACCAGUUGUCGUGCCAACGGCAUAGCUGGGUAGCUAUGUGUGGACGGGAUAAGUGCUGAAAGCAUCUAAGCAUGAAGCCCCCCUCAAGAUGAGAUUUCCCAACUUCGGUUAUAAGAUCCCUCAAAGAUGAUGAGGUUAAUAGGUUCGAGGUGGAAGCAUGGUGACAUGUGGAGCUGACGAAUACUAAUCGAUCGAAGACUUAAUCAA